CGGCUGGCGGUGAUUCGGAGCAGAUAGAGUCUGUCUCGCGUGGUAACAUUGGCAACAGUUUGCAAGUGAAAGUCAAUGUCUUUUAAGUAGGCGUGCACAUCGUGGCCUCCUGCAGGGUUUGGAGUGAAAGUGGGAAUGUUUCUAGCCAGCUUAUCCAAUUCUUUAGGUGACACGCCGUGACUGGAAGACAGCCUUUGAAAAGGCUCCCACCCCCUUGCUGCUGCUGGGGGUUCAGGGAUGCUGGCAGGUGAUGUCUUGAGCAGUGGGCUCUCACCCCCCUUUUGAACUGGAAACCCUUGACUAGGAGGUAUCAAUCUGCUGGUUAGGGGAAAUUCUGUGGUGUGCAUUUCCCUUUCAGAGUCACUUUGCAGUCUAUAUGCAUAUUUAAGCUCUCGGUGAACCGUAUCAAGUUCAUCUUUUAAAUCGUCUCUUUGUUGGGCCAGGGCACUGACUUCAACCCGGGAACUUUGCAGGUGGCCUUUGCAGGCCUUGGCCCUAGCAUCUCUCUCUGAGAUACACCGGAAAGUAUCUAACUAAGAUUGUUGACAGCGUGAUCGUCUAAAGACUUUGGCAGCUUGGGUCGUCAAUCUAUUACUCAGCCUUCCCUGAUGAUUCUCAAAGGUUCGGUCUCUAGGCAAACAAAACAGAACAAAAUGAAAAACAAACAAACCAACAAAUCAAAACACAGAGAGAGAUAGAGGAGAGAGCAGGUUUAAGCCUUUUACUGCUGUUAGGGGUUAUGACAGGGCCUACCGACUGGAUGGGUCAGUAUUCUAUGGCUAGGCUUAGUGAUGGAUUGAGGUGAUUCAGUCUGGAUCCCGUGGCAGCUCACUGUGAUCCGCCGUGGAGGCAACUGUCACUUCACCAACUAAGCACUAGAGGGAGUGUUACCUAUAGGUGAACAAAAAUGGCUAGAAUACAGAAAUUAACUUUAAAUUUGAAUUCAAACACUGUUUAAACUAAAUUUAAAUAAAUGAGUGGUAAAGGGAGAGAGAAGAGGGGGAGAGAACCCUGAUUAAAAAU